rnacentral:rRNA from 1 species
AUUGAACGCUGGCGGCAUGCUUUACACAUGCAAGUCGAACGGUAACAGGUUAAGCUGACGAGUGGCGAACGGGUGAGUAAUGCAUCGGAACGUGCCCGAUCGUGGGGGAUAACGCAGCGAAAGCUGCGCUAAUACCGCAUACGAUCUGAGGAUGAAAGCGGGGGACCGUAAGGCCCCGCGCAAUCGGAGCGGCCGAUGUCGGAUUAGGUAGUUGGUGGGGUAAAGGCCCACCAAGCCGACGAUCUGUAGCUGGUCUGGGAGGACGACACAGCCACACUGGGACUGAGACACGGCCCAGACUCCUACGGGAGGCAGCAGUGGGGAAUUUUGGACAAUGGGCGAAAGCCUGAUCCAGCAAUGCCGCGUGCAGGAAGAAGGCCUUCGGGUUGUAAACUGCUUUUGUACGGAGCGAAAAGGUCCUUUCUAAUACAAGGGGCUCAUGACGGUACCGUAAGAAUAAGCACCGGCUAACUACGUGCCAGCAGCCGCGGUAAGAC